UGCAGAUCACAUAACCCGUAUUUUGCAAAGUAGCUCGCGUCAAGCGCGCGUUUGCGUCCAGAAAUUACGCGUUGACGUCAUUGACGUCGAAACGACCUCGGAUCGGCUGAGGUGAAUAUAAUCGAUCUUAGUUGGGCGAGAAGAUGUUUGGCGACAAGUAAAACGACGGCUGGAACCAGGGUUAGUGGCUGUUGUUUCCCUCAACUCCCACAAUAAUAUUGAAGACGGCAUUCUUCAGUGCUUUCAAAUGCAUGUGUGAAAAAGCCCUUUUCUUUGUAUUGCACAGAUGAGUGUUUUUCUGUUUGCUUCGAGCACUAUUGUUUUCCUUCUGUACUUUUAAAGAAAACGUCCAAAUCCCAAGAACUGUGCUCUUUGUAUAAGAGCAGAGCUCAUCCCACGUUACAUUUAACUAGCGCUUUUGAGUUUCAGCCAUGCUACACUCUACACACGCAAGGUAUUCUAACCGACACUGAUUAUGAAAGCAUCCAAACAUGUAUCACGAAAUGCACAAAAAAUGGCACUAAUUGUUCUCUAAGUUUGCCAUUGCCAAUGUGGUGGACCUCUGCAAAGAAAAGCGCUCAAGGUGCCUGGAAGCUACAGAUGGUGUGCAUUUGACCUGUAAACCUAUCGAUGGUGUACAUGGAGGGAAGCACUUUUUUUCCGGUAACCGGUAAUGGCUCUCUGAGGUAACACAACAUAUUGUAUUGAAUCUGAUGGUAAAGCGUUGUUCCUUUUCUUCGUUAUAGAGCACCCUUGACAUCACUGAAAGCAUUGGAUGCUGCUUUAAGACAAGCAAGAGGUCGGUCGACAGCAAAGCGCUGCGACCAGGGCAAAGAACAAGAAAAUCAAUCAACCUCACAACUUUGACAGGAACUAUUUUAGUAGUUUUAUACAUGGACAUGCAAGUCAUUUUUUCUCUCUUUGAAAUAUUUACAAUAAUUACAAGACAAAGAUUCAGUUCAGAUUGACAAAAUCGCGAGCAUUCAAUAGUACUACUAAUAUAACACAACUUCUCGGGAUUCUUUAAAUCAUCAUAGUUAUAUAAUUCAUCACAUUUGAUAAUGGUAUAAUUCAAUUAUGUCAUCCUUAUCCAGUCAUCUUCCCGUUCUAAUUAGAAUAGUGUUUUCAUCGCAUCAUUACAAGCCAUUCUCCGUAAUUGAUGAUCAUUUAGCUGAAAUCACAGUUUGAGCACCAUCUCCACAAACCGUUUCCUCAUUCUAAAUCUAACACUGAAACAAGAAUACUGGUAUAAAGUUUAAUGGGAAUAUACAUCAAAGGAAUGACACAAAAGGGGAUGAAAUUAAGGAGGAUCAUGGCUGGGGCUGUUGAGAAAAAUCACGAUCGCAGGUCUUGGGCGCUCAUUAGCUGUGGACCGAGAAGUCGUAUUGGUUAACAUAAAAGUCUUUGAGAGCUGCUGAAGCACAUGUAGAAACUAAGCAGCAAGCGUUACAAUCCACAAAGCAGUCUACAUGGCAGCAGACGGCUCCGUUGAUCAUGGCGGGAGCGUUCUAGCUUUGUCCCAUCACCGCUCGCUUGCUGUGCGGAUUGGGUGUAGGGGUUUUUUCUUCACCUGCAGUGAUGAGGCACUCAACAACCCCAACCAAAAAGACUAUGCAGUUAAGCUCUAAAAGAUACAUUGUUUUUUUUUAAUAUAUAGUAGUUUGUAAUUUUCACUCAUUUACAAAAUGCCUUCUCAAUGUGCUGUGUUAUGCCAGUGCUGUCUGGUCAUAUCAGUGUCUGUGUGAUGAACAUCAAUAAACAGUGUUGAAAAAUGAAAUUAAGACAACUGAGGAAACUUUCAUCCAGAUCUGUGCCCGUGUUAGUAUAGUUUAUUUUUUUUAUUUCAUUUUCUUUUAACCAGAGCUGAUCUAAUGUCUACGUCUAAUGUAUUGCCAGCACAGAGGAAGCAAUGCAAGUGAGUUGAACAAGGGGAAAAUGGCAACAUAAACAGCAUCAUUGAGGGGAAAAAGAAAAAAAACAUCAUAAGAUACACACAACAUUUGAACAUCGUUGGGGGUAUAUUUGUUUUGUAGGUAGCUGUUUUUGGAGAAAGUGCUUUAAAACGAACAAGCUUGUAUAGUAUACAUUAUACACAUUGUUCAGAAUUAAUAUAAAUAAAUAAACCUUUAUAUUUAGAACCUUGUCGCUGAAAGCAGUGGAAUUGAAGACAUAGUAAAUGUAUUCGCAAGAUAGUUCACAAGAUUUAAGGGCAGGGUGGACUACACAAUACAGUUGACUGUAACAUUGUGCUCUGUACUCGCAUAAUGCUUUGGCUUUUUAGUCUUAUUACUUUUCUUAACAUUUGAAUGAAGUCGGCACAGAACUGGAGCGCUAGAGCUGCAUACCAUAGACCUGCAGACCAGAGAAGCCCCUUGUGCCCGAGGCCGGUGCGACCGAGGGCUCCAACAGCAGACGAGCACACACACACACACACACGCAGAACCACACACACACAAAUGCUCAUGCUCACAUAUACAGCAACGUGUACGUAAAAAAGGAAAAAAUGCCGAAGGGACAGGGCACGCAUACAUGGCCUUUUGAGUUGCACAAUUCGACACCGCAGCACACGACUCACAAUAAAGAAUAGUCUUACGAAAGAAUUCACAUAUCAUCACCAGUUAAGCACAACAAUCAAGUUCGGGAAAACAUCAGGGGAAGGGAAAAUGAACAAGAUGCACAAAAAUGAUUCGUACCCAGAGUGUUUCCAGAGGGUGAGGAGGGGGGGAAUACAUCGUUUUACACUACGGACGUGGUUUGGGAACAAAAUACCCGACAACAAACUGAUUUUUGUAUUCAUGUGCACAUCCACAGGGAACACAUUCAUGGGGACCACGGUAAAACUCCAGCA